GCCCAUGAUAAUACCAGUGACAAAGGCAAUGAGAUGAUUAAUGGUAAUGGUGCUGGUGCUUUAUUCUCAUCGUCAAAGGAAAACUGCUUGUUUGCACAUGUGGUUAACCCUGUUUCUGAGAAGCAUGUUCUUGAGUCCCAAAAUGCUAUGGAUUCAGAUGCUACUACUCGCUCAACCAAUGAUAUGAAGGACACAGGUUUAUUGGGUUCUAGCAUGAUACAAGGCAACAAGGGUACCAAAG
rnacentral:misc_RNA from 1 species